AUAUCGUGCCGUAAGGUGUUGGGUUAAGUCCCGCAACGAGCGCAACCCUCGUGUUUAGUUGCCAUCAUUGAGUUUGGAACCCUGAACAGACUAUAAACUGCAGCUCAGGUAAA
rfam:Nicotiana attenuata strain TT chromosome 7, whole genome shotgun sequence.